rnacentral:rRNA from 1 species
GACGGAGGGUGCAAGCGUUGCUCGGAUUUACUGGGCGUAAAGAGCACGUAGGCGGCUAGGUAAGUCUGAUGUGAAAGCCCACGACUCAAUCGUGGAAGUGCAUUGGAUACUGCUUAGCUAGAAUGCAGGAGAGGUGAGCGGAAUUCCAGGUGUAGAGGUGAAAUUCGUAGAUAUCUGGAGGAACAACGGAGGCGAAGGCGGCUCACUGGACUGAUAUUGACGCUGAGGUGCGAAAGUGUGGGGAGCAAACGGGAUUAGAUACCCCGGUAGUCCACACCGUAAACGAUGAGUACUAGUUGUCGGAACCAUCCUACUGUUUCGGUGACGAAGCUAACGCAUUAAGUACUCCGCCUGGGGAUUACGGCCGCAAGGCUAAAACUCAAAGAAAUUGACGGGGGCCCGCACAAGCGGUGGAGGAUGUGGUUUAAUUCGAUGCAACGCGAAAAACCUUACCUAGGCUUGACAUCCCGCGCUACCCUGUGAAAGCAGGGGUUCUCUUCGGAGACGCGGUGACAGGUGCUGCAUGGCUGUCGUCAGCUCGUGUCGUGAGAUGUUGGGUUAAGUCCCGCAACGAGCGCAACCCUCGCCAUUAGUUGCCAGCAUUAAGUUGGGCACUCUAAUGGGACCGCUUGCCGAUAAGGCAGAGGAAGGUGGGGAUGACGUCAAGUCCGCAUGGCCCUUACGCCUAGGGCCACACACGUCCUACAAUGGCUAGUACAAAGUGUCGCUAUCCUGUGAAGGAGUGCUAAUCACAAAAAGCUAGUCUCAGUUCGGAUUGGAGUCUGCAACUCGACUCCAUGAAGUUGGAAUCGCUAGUAAUCGCGGAUCAGCAUGCCGCGGUGAAUACGUUCCCGGGCCU